rnacentral:ncRNA from 1 species
GAUAACUGGCCUGUGGCGGCCAAGCGUUCAUAACGACGUCGCUUUUUGAUCCUUCGAUGUCGGCUCUUCCUAUCAAUGUGAAGCAGAAUUCACCAAGCGUUGGAUUGUUUACUCACUAAUAGGGAACGUGAGCUGGGUUUAGACUGUCGCGAGAAAGGUU